rfam:Fukomys damarensis contig78454, whole genome shotgun sequence.
AAAUGCUUCAGCAACACAUAACUAAAAUUGGAACGAUACAGAGGUUAAUGUGGCCCCUGUACAAGGAUGACAUGCAGACUUUGUGAGGCGUUCUGUAUUUUU